rnacentral:rRNA from 1 species
AUGAACGCUGGCGGCGUGCCUAAUACAUGCAAGUCGAGCGAACAGACGAGGAGCUUGCUCCUCUGACGUUAGCGGCGGACGGGUGAGUAACACGUGGAUAACCUACCUAUAAGACUGGGAUAGCUUCGGGAAACCGGAGCUAAUACCGGAUAAUAUAUUGAACCGCAUGGUUCAAUAGUGAAAGACGGUUUUGCUGUCACUUAUAGAUGGAUCCGCGCCGCAUUAGCUAGUUGGUAAGGUAACGGCUUACCAAGGCAACGAUGCGUAGCCGACCUGAGAGGGUGAUCGGCCACACUGGAACUGAGACACGGUCCAGACUCCUACGGGAGGCAGCAGUAGGGAAUCUUCCGCAAUGGGCGAAAGCCUGACGGAGCAACGCCGCGUGAGUGAUGAAGGUCUUCGGAUCGUAAAACUCUGUUAUUAGGGAAGAACAAAUGUGUAAGUAACUAUGCACGUCUUGACGGUACCUAAUCAGAAAGCCACGGCUAACUACGUG